GCCCUCGUGGCUCAAUGGUUAAGUGCUUGGCUGCUAACCUAAGGGCUGGUGAUUUGAACUCACCCAGUGGCU
rfam:Loxodonta africana unplaced genomic scaffold scaffold_2, whole genome shotgun sequence.